rnacentral:rRNA from 1 species
GAUGAACGCUAGCUACAGGCUUAACACAUGCAAGUCGAGGGACCGGCGCACGGGUGAGUAACACGUAUCCAACCUGCCCUUUACUCGGGGAUAGCCUUUCGAAAGAAAGCUUAAUACCCUAUAUACAGGAUGGGGAUGCGUUCCAUUAGGUUGUUGGUGAGGUAACGGCUCACCAAGCCUUCGAUGGAUAGGGGUUCUGAGAGGAAGGUCACCCACAUGUGAACGGAGACACAGUCCAAACUGCGAAGGGAGGCAGGAGUGAGGAAUAUUGGUAAAUGGGCGCUAGCCUGAACCAGCCACGUAGAGUGAAGAAUGAAGGGUUAUGGGUGAUAAACUUCUUAUAUAAAAGAAAAUGAAUUAUAUGAAUAGGGAUCGGGUAACUCCGUACCAGCAGCCGCGGUAAUAG